UAUAUAUUCAUCAAGACAAUAUCUAUGUCUUGUCUGUCUACUCUGUCGACCCGUGUGGAACCGAGCUCCUCAAAGCAGCUUGAGUGAUGCCGAGCCAGAGAGACAGCUGUCAAACCUCUGGAGACAGACUAGAACCAAUCAUGUCUCCCUUUACCCUCCUCUGGAGACAGACUAGAACCAAUCAGGUCUCCCUUUACCCUCCUCUGGAGACAGACUAGAACCAAUCAGGUCUCCCUUUACCCUCCUCUGGAGACAGACUAGAACCAAUCAGGUCUCCCUUUACCCUCCUCUGGAGACAGACUAGAACCAAUCAGGUCUCCCUUUACCAUACCCUGGAGACAGACUAGAACCAAUCAGGUCUCCCUUUACCCUCCUCUGGAGACAGACUAGAACCAAUCAGGUCUCCCUUUACCCUCCUCUGGAGACAGACUAGAACCAAUCAGGUCUCCCUUUACCCUCCUCUGGAGACAGACUAGAACCAAUCAGGUCUCCCUUUACCCUCCUCUGGAGACAGACUAGAACCAAUCAGGUCUCCCUUUACCAUACCCUGGAGACAGACUAGAACCAAUCAGGUCUCCCUUUACCCUCCUCUGGAGACAGACUAGAACCAAUCAGGUCUCCCUUUACCAUACCCUGGAGACAGACUAGAACCAAUCAGGUCUCCCUUUACCAUACCCUGGAGACAGACUAGAACCAAUCAGGUCUCCCUUUACCAUACCCUGGAGACAGACUAGAACCAAUCAGGUCUCCCUUUACCAUACCCUGGAGACAGACUAGAACCAAUCAGGUCUCCCUUUACCCUCCUCUGGAGACAGACUAGAACCAAUCAGGUCUCCCUUUACCCUCCUCUGGAGACAGACUAGAACCAAUCAGGUCUCCCUUUACCCUCCUCUGGAGACAGACUAGAACCAAUCAGGUCUCCCUUUACCCUCCUCUGGAGACAGACUAGAACCAAUCAGGUCUCCCUUUACCCUCCUCUGGAGACAGACUAGAACCAAUCAGGUCUCCCUUUACCCUCCUCUGGAGACAGACUAGAACCAAUCAGGUCUCCCUUUACCCUCCUCUGGAGACAGACUAGAACCAAUCAGGUCUCCCUUUACCCUCCUCUGGAGACAGACUAGAACCAAUCAGGUCUCCCUUUACCCUCCUCUGGAGACAGACUAGAACCAAUCAGGUCUCCCUUUACCAUACCCUGGAGACAGACUAGAACCAAUCAGGUCUCCCUUUACCCUCCUCUGGAGACAGACUAGAACCAAUCAGGUCUCCCUUUACCCUCCUCUGGAGACAGACUAGAACCAAUCAGGUCUCCCUUUACCCUCCUCUGGAGACAGACUAGAACCAAUCAGGUCUCCCUUUACCCUCCUCUGGAGACAGACUAGAACCAAUCAGGUCUCCCUUUACCCUCCUCUGGAGACAGACUAGAACCAAUCAGGUCUCCCUUUACCCUCCUCUGGAGACAGACUAGAACCAAUCAGGUCUCCCUUUACCAUACCCUGGAGACAGACUAGAACCAAUCAGGUCUCCCUUUACCCUCCUCUGGAGACAGACUAGAACCAAUCAGGUCUCCCUUUACCCUCCUCUGGAGACAGACUAGAACCAAUCAGGUCUUCAUCUCUACACUGAUUGAAGUGGAUUUAACAGGUGACAUCAAAUAAGGGAUCAAUGGAGCCUGUACUAUUCACCUUGGGGUUCUAGAGUUCCUGUCCCUGGGGUUCUAGAGUUCCUGUCCCUGGGGUUCUAGAGUUCCUGUCCCGGGGUUCUAGAGUUCCUGUCCCUGGGGUUCUAGAGUUCCUGUCCCGGGGUUCUAGAGUUCCUGUCCCUGGGGUUGUAGAGUUCCUGUCCCUGGGGUUCUAGAGUUCCUGUCCCGGGGUUCUAGAGUUCCUGUCCCUGGGGUUGUAGAGUUCCUGUCC